rnacentral:rRNA from 1 species
UGAGGAAUAUUGGUCAAUGGGCGAGAGCCUGAACCAGCCAAGUCGCGUGAAGGACGACGGUUCUAUGGAUUGUAAACUUCUUUUGUAGAGGAAUAACGGCAGCUACGUGUAGCUGAGAUGCAUGUACUCUACGAAUAAGUAUCGGCUAACUCCGUGCCAGCAGCCGCGGUAAUACGGAGGAUACGAGCGUUAUCCGGAAUUAUUGGGUUUAAAGGGUGCGUAGGUGGCGUAUUAAGUCAGUGGUGAAAAGCUGCAGCUCAACUGUAGUCUUGCCGUUGAAACUGAUAUGCUAGAGAGGAGACGAGGUAUGCGGAAUGUGUGGUGUAGCGGUGAAAUGCAUAGAUAUCACACAGAACGCCGAUUGCGAAGGCAGCGUACCAGGCUCCGUCUGACACUGAAGCACGAAAGCGUGGGGAUCAAACAGGAUUAGAUACCCUGGUAGUCCACGCAGUAAACGAUGAAUACUAGAUUUUUGCGAUAUACUGUAAGAGUCUAAGCGAAAGCGAUAAGUAUUCCACCUGGGGAGUACGCCGGCAGACGGUG